rnacentral:rRNA from 1 species
GAUGAACGCUGGCGGCGUGCCUAAUACAUGCAAGUCGAGCGAACGGACGAGAAGCUUGCUUCUCUGAUGUUAGCGGCGGACGGGUGAGUAACACGUGGAUAACCUACCUAUAAGACUGGGAUAACUUCGGGAAACCGGAGCUAAUACCGGAUAAUAUUUUGAACCGCAUGGUUCAAAAGUAAAAGACGGUCUUGCUGUCACUUAUAGAUGGAUCCGCGCUGCAUUAGCUAGUUGGUAAGGUAACGGCUUACCAAGGCAACGAUGCAUAGCCGACCUGAGAGGGUGAUCGGCCACACUGGAACUGAGACACGGUCCAGACUCCUACGGGAGGCAGCAGUAGGGAAUCUUCCGCAAUGGGCGAAAGCCUGACGGAGCAACGCCGCGUGAGUGAUGAAGGUCUUCGGAUCGUAAAACUCUGUUAUUAGGGAAGAACAUAUGUGUAAGUAACUGUGCACAUCUUGACGGUACCUAAUCAGAAAGCCACGGCUAACUAGGUG